rnacentral:rRNA from 1 species
UACGUAGGGUGCGAGCGUUAAUCGGAAUUCCUGGGCGUAAAGCGUGCGCAGGCGGUUUUGUAAGCCAGAUGUGAAAUCCCCGGGCUUAACCUGGGAACUGCAUUUGGGACUGCAAGGCUUGAGUGCGGCAGAGGAGACUGGAAUUCCUGGUGUAGCAGUGAAAUGCGUAGAUAUCAGGAGGAAUACCGAUGGCGAAGGCAGGUCUCUGGGCUGACACUGACGCUCAUGCACGAAAGCGUGGGGAGCAAACAGG